rnacentral:rRNA from 1 species
GACGAACGCUGGCGGCGUGCUUAACACAUGCAAGUCGAACGGAAAGGCCCUUCGGGGUCCUCGAGUGGCGAACGGGUGAGUAACACGUGGGUGAUCUGCCCUGCACUUUGGGAUAAGCCUGGGAAACUGGGUCUAAUACCGAAUAGGACCACGCGCUUCAUGGUGUGUGGUGGAAAGCUUUUGCGGUGUGGGAUGGGCCCGCGGCCUAUCAGCUUGUUGGUGGGGUAAUGGCCUACCAAGGCGACGACGGGUAGCCGGCCUGAGAGGGUGACCGGCCACACUGGGACUGAGAUACGGCCCAGACUCCUACGGGAGGCAGCAGUGGGGAAUAUUGCGCAAUGGGCGCAAGCCUGAUGCAGCGACGCCGCGUGAGGGAUGACGGCCUUCGGGUUGUAAACCUCUUUCACCAGGGACGAAGCGUAAGUGACGGUACCUGGAGAAGAAGCACCGGCCAACUACGUG